UGUUUUGCCUAGCUUGAAGAACAUUUCUACAUUUAUUUAGUUGCAGUGACUCUGUCGCAGGGGACGCAUGUGCUCAGUGUUGUUAAACAACUAAAUAUUAAUAUAAGUGAAUACGUCGAAAAUAUAGUGAUAAAAUGAACAUUUCAGUUCAGUGCUGUGAUUCAUAUGUAAUCUUGGCUGUGAGUGUUGUCCGUCAUUUCCACUUCUGUUACCUUUGGGGGAUCCGAUAGAAAAUGGUACAUUCAGAUAUUACAAACAUAAGAAUUGCCGGAAUUGUUUCAAAGUGAUAAUGAAAUACUGGAAAUUUGCAAAUUAUGUGUUUUCUUUUUUAGAUUUGGGACUUGUAUUGCACCGGACUUGCCAUGAUGUUUCUCAAGAACACCUAAAAAGGGGAUUUUGCACCUGAGUCUGACAUCGUAGAUGGACCACUCUUGCAACAAAUUGGAUUUUGCACCUGACUCUGACAUCGUAGAUGGACCAUUCUUGCAUCAGAUUGUAAGUAUUAAAUUUCUUUAUCAGUUUCCUAAAUAACUUUUGGGAUUAUCUUACAAAUUAACCACCAAAAUUGCAUUUUUAUGUUCGACGGAUUCAUUUUUGAUUGUUUUAGGGAUUUCACUUAAUUAUUUAGGAUUUUUGGAAAACAAGCAGAGCGUUACUCAAAUCAAAUUGAAUGAAUCAAAAGUAAUAAAUACUACUCUGAUGUUUUUAAUUUUGUUUUGUGUCUGAUAUGUUGCUUGUGUCGGCGCAGCGCGUCAGUUUUCUUGCUUAUUUAGAAAGUACUGGUAGGGGCUACUCGUAUCUGCUUUGUUUACGCCUGAUAUUAAUUCUCUUUACACUUUAGUCGAUCGCGCGCUGUGCUACGGUUAGCACGUGUUUUGUUCAUCAGUCGAUCUUCGUAGCGACUUUUCGCGUUUCUUACUUUAAUUCUGUAAUUGCCUUCAUCGGCCUUUCGUAACAGGCUAAUGUGGUGCAACCCCAAUUAAUCAUCGGUUCACCUGUGCGCUAGGGAUGUUCGUUCGGCCGACCGUCGCUAGAUAUUAUUCGGUUGUGGAAUUAUCUGCAACCGUGUUGGUCUUUAUGUGCGCCGCGUGCGUGUUCAUCGGCAGUCGUUUAUCUUCUCGAAUAUUGGCAAAACUUGGGUUUAUUAUUAAUUCCUGCUGAUAGACAAUGUUGGUGCUCAGUUUUUGAGUAUGGGAGUCAUGGAAUCUGCGAUAUCCAUGAAAGAAGAAUUGGAGAUGCGCACAUUUUACGGUAAGUCUUUACUGCUACAAGAUUUGAGAUUCGUCAAUGUUUUUUUAUUUGAAAGAUAUAUGUAUUUUAAAUGUUGUCAAUAAAACACAUUGUAAUGUUAUAAA